rnacentral:rRNA from 1 species
ACUCCUACGGGAGGCAGCAGUAGGGAAUCUUCCGCAAUGGACGAAAGUCUGACGGAGCAACGCCGCGUGAGUGAAGAAGGUUUUCGGAUCGUAAAAACUCUGUUGUUAGAGAAGAACGUUAAGUAGAGUGGAAAAUUACUUAAGUGACGGUAUCUAACCAGAAAGGGACGGGCUAACUACGUGCCAGCAGCCGCGGUAAUACGUAGGUCCAAGCGUUGUCCGGAUUUAUUGGGCGUAAAGCGAGCGCAGGUGGUUUCUUAAGUCUGAUGUAAAAGGCAGUGGCUCAACCAUUGUGUGCAUUGGAAACUGGGAGACUUGAGUGCAGGAGAGGAGAGUGGAAUUCCAUGUGUAGCGGUGAAAUGCGCAGAUAUAUGGAGGAACACCGGAGGCGAAAGCGGCUCUCUGGCCUGUAACUGACACUGAGGCUCGAAAGCGUGGGGAGCAAACAGGAUUAGAUACCCUGGUAGGAUAGCG